rnacentral:lncRNA from 1 species
UGAAAUAAUUAUAGAAUCAGCCUUAGAAUUGAGGUUUGGGGGCUCAUUUGUUUUAGCUUUUCUAUUGUGGAAGAUAUCUUGACCUUGGCUUCUGAGAUGUAUUGGGUGUCUUAUUUGUCAGAGUCAAGUCUAGCAAAUACCUUCAAAGCUGAUUGAUGAUAAAAAAAAAACAAAACCAUGAAUGCAGAAAUCCCUGUUCUGACUUUAGCUACAUUCAAAACUAGCAGUUGGUCUGAAGCCGUAAGAGGGUCACUGAAACAGAAACUGGUUUGUUUGAAGUGUGACUUAUGCCAUUUCCGAUUAGGUUUACAAACCUUUGCCAGGAUAUGACAAUGACCCAGACAGAGCUUUAGCUAAACAACCUACAACAUUAGUCAUAAUGAGAUUUCUAUCUGAACACAUGUUUCCGUAGGUGGGGAAGAAACAUAAUGAUUUUGAACUGCGCCGGGCCCUCAAUAGGAAGCCGAAGUACCAAUUGUUUCCUUUUUGGUGCAGUUCCCACAGUACUCUUUUCCAGACCCCUGUCCUCUGCGUGCAUGACACGGCGUGGUGCUGAACGCACUCUGCACAUAUCCAGCCAACACUGUAAAUAGUCUUAGGUUUCCAGAUUUUAAAAUUCUUCACGGUAGAAUUUAGUCAGAUUUUAAUGAAGGGAGAAUACUUGCUUGCACACAUGUGAUAAUGAUACAAUCAUAUUCUGUGUGGCCUCAACCAACACACAGAAAGGGCAGGCUCUUUGGGGGGCCAGAUGACUGCAUGUUUUAUUCCUACACUGGUGCUCUUGGUGCAUCCAGACUAAUAUUGUUUUUACUAUUAUACUUCUGAACAACAUACUAAUAGCACUAAAUGGAUAUGUAUUUGAAAUGCAAAUAUUUUGCAAAGCAACCUAUACAUCUUUAAUUCUCGUAUAAUAGUAUGAAUAUAUAAGAUCAGACACUGUAUUCUGGAUGAGUGGUAGUGACAUGACAGCAGAAGUCAAAUACAAACAGAAUUGUGAUCUUUCAGUCAAAGCAGGAAAGUUAGCUAACUCGAGUCUGGAUAACAUUACACCUAAUGUGUUCUAGUAGACAGAAGAACUUACAAUAAAAGGCAAGUAGAAACUCCAAAGUUAGAAAACGACGUCAAAGCUCCCAAUGUCUCCCUUUUACAUGAAUGAUGUUAAAAUAGUUCUGGAUUAGUGGUUGAAUUCACACCCAAACUUUAUUGUUUUAAGGAAACUUUUUAUUACAGUCCUGGUUACACCUCUUAUUGUGUACAAGACUACAAAAGCUCUAAAUAUUAAGAACAUUACCUACGACUUUAUGUAGGUCACAGGACAGAGAAUACGAGAAUGUGAGGUUUUAAAUGGGUCAGAACAAAUGUCUAUGCAAUACUAUGCAGUACUUUAAUGAAAAUAUUAAUUAGCACAGCAAACUAAAGUGUCUUUUUAAAAUUAACUCGAUCAAAAUCCAAAUACAUGUAUUACAGAAUUUAAGGAAAUAUUAUUUCCCUGUGAGACCCAGAAAACUUCUGCAAUUCUUUUGGAAAAAAAAAAACUGUUUUUUAAGUUAAUGUUUAAAGAAGUGACUGGGGUUGUGUAGCAGCUGGUACAUACAGUUAUAAAUUAAGUAACACUUCUUCCCCUUCACUUUCCUUCCUCCAAACCCAUCCAUGUGACCCCCUUCUUGUUAUCCUUCAAAUUCAUGUCUUCUUUUUUUUUUCAGUAAUUAUUGGUGAAUUUUGUUACCUUAUAUAAUUGUCUUUUU